rnacentral:ncRNA from 2 species
ACGAAAGUUCUUUCGUACGGCCGGUAGAGUGAGCCCGUCGUCAUCACACCCGUACGAGGAGAAGCCGGUGCAAAUCCGGCGCUGACCCGCAACCGUGAGCCGCUUCGGCGGUGAGCCGGAUCGCCUCGCCCGGGAUGUGACC